GGGGGUGGCCGGGACGGGGGCGGGCUCUCCGGGCCCCCAUUGGCUACGGCCCCCCCCAAGAGCAGGGCUCUUCCCCCCAUCUCCCCCCGACACCAGUCUGUCCCGCUUCCAGCUGCUGCAGCCGCACCUUCACCGCCUCGACAUCCAGCCACCCCCUGAUCCUGACGGGUUCAGCAUGGCGACCCCUACCCAGGUCCCCACAAAGGUUCCUCAGGAACCUGACCCAUUUUACUAUGACUAUGACACUGUGCAGACUGUGGGCAUGACUCUGGCUACCAUAUUGUUCCUGCUGGGCAUCCUCAUCAUCAUCAGCAAGAAGGUGAAGUGCAGGAAGGCCGACUCCGGGUCCGAGAGCCCAACAUGCAAAUCCUGUAAGUCGGAGCUUCCCUCCUCAGCCCCUGGAGGUGGUGGUGUGUAAAACCAGCCCUGGGCACCUCCGCUGCUGUCCCUGCCUGAGUGCGGGAGCCUGAGGUCCGGGUGGAGGCGGUGGGGACCCCAGCCUUGCCCCGGGAGCGCUUCCCUGAAUGAGCCGCCCCACCCACUCCAAGGCUGGAGCCGCCGCACCUCCCCAGGCCUUGGCAAUGACGACCCCCCAAAGAGCCCGUCUGCAUCCCAGAUCCAGGGACCCAGGCCUCCAGCUCCUGGGGUCCAGGAGUCCACCCUCAGCCCCCCAGAAUCCCCGUGUCCCCCUUCCCGGCACCUCCCUGUCUCCUCUCAGAAGAUCCGUUCCCCCCGCCCCACCUCCCGCAUCCCCGGUGUCCAUGUCUUGAGCUUAAUAAAUGUGCAUUUGGUUUUUCCCC
rnacentral:lncRNA from 1 species